rnacentral:lncRNA from 1 species
UGAUAGCAUUCCGUGCAACAGCAUCCGAUGGGGGGAUAAGCCAUUGGUGGUGGAGGACAAGGUUCUGGAACCUUUGGUGGUGGUGGUGGUGGUGGUUCUUUUGGUUUCUCAGGUUCCUUAGGCUUUUCGGGUUCUUUCGGCUUUUCGGGUUGUUUCGGUUUCUCGGGUUCUUUGGGUUUUUCGGGUUCUUUCGGCUUUUCGGGUUGUUUAGGUUUCUCGGGUUCUUUGGGUUUUUCGGGUUCUUUUGGUUUUUCUGGUGCUUUAGGCUUUUCGGGUUCUUUUGGUUUUUCUGGUACUUUAGGCUUCUCAGGUUCUUUGGGUUUUUCAGGUUCUUUGGGCUUUUCGGGUUCUUUAGGCUUCUCAGGCUCCUUGGGUUUGGGAGGAGGAGGUGGAGGUUUGAUCUCAAUGCUCUUGAUUGAUCCAGCACCCUUGCAACAUAUCUUGUCCCUCAGCUUCUCAG